rnacentral:rRNA from 1 species
AACGAACGCUGGCGGCAUGCCUAACACAUGCAAGUCGAACGAGACCUUCGGGUCUAGUGGCGCACGGGUGCGUAACGCGUGGGAAUCUGCCCUUGGGUUCGGAACAACAGUUGGAAACGACUGCUAAUACCGGAUGAUGACUUCGGUCCGAAGAUUUAUCGCCCAGGGAUGAGCCCGCGUCGGAUUAGCUAGUUGGUGAGGUAAAGGCUGACCAAGGCGACGAUCCGUAGCUGGUCUGAGAGGAUGAUCAGCCACACUGGGACUGAGACACGGCCCAGACUCCUACGGGAGGCAGCAGUGGGGAAUAUUGGACAAUGGGCGAAAGCCUGAUCCAGCAAUGCCGCGUGAGUGAUGAAGGCCUUAGGGUUGUAAAGCUCUUUUACCCGGGAAGAUAAUGACUGUACCGGGAGAAUAAGCCCCGGCUAACUCCGUGCCAGCCGCCGCUGUAACAC